UGCUCCACUAAUAAUGAAAAAGCUUAUGUGGAUGGACCUUGCCCUCCAUUAUAAUUUUAGUGGAACCCGGGGGAAGGUGGCCUUCAAACUGUACGGAAAAAUUAUAAAGCUCAUUAGAAGCGUUAUACGCGUAAGGCAAGUGGGAGCCACCGAUAAACAAAUAGAGAGCCAUUUGAGUCGGUAGCUAGCGCAAGCACUAUGGAGAACGAAGACAAAGGCGUAUGAACAGGAAGUAGAAAACGGGCAAACCCAAGAAAAUGCCAACCAGGAGGAAGAGUCGGAAGAGGAGCAAUAAAAUUUCUUAUUGAAAUAGUGGA